rnacentral:misc_RNA from 1 species
GUUUAUUUUUAAAUUUAAUUGGAUAAUGGAAAUCAAGCAGCAUAACUUGGUCUUAUAAACAAAUCAAAUAGAACAGCUUGGUUUACUACCCGAGUAGUAGUACGCGUUGCUAACAAAGAGAGACAUGAAUCAUCUUUAGCAAACAGGCUAUAGAUUCAAAUCAAAAGUAUCAUCUACAGCAUCUUGGGAAGUGAUGGAAGCAUCAUCAGCCAUGGGGUUUCUCCGCAUUUCUCUCUCUAAAAUAUCAAUGCAUAGUCGGUCUUUAUUUGUUGCCUGACCCCGCUCUGUUUUAGCAUUAUAAUUUUUUAUGCUAGUCAAUCUUCGACAGAUGCUAAGAGCACUUCGCCCAUCAAAUGUUAAGACUGAAGCACUAGCCCCUUUUAUUAGGAGAGACACAAUGAUUGAUGGUUCUCUACGCAUUGCUGCAAUGUGAAGAGGUGUGUAACCUUGUGAAUUUCUACGGUUGACAUCAGUAAAAUCAAGGCGAAGCAACUCGAGU